CCUACGGGAGGCAGCAGUGGGGAAUAUUGGACAAUGGGCGAAAGCCUGAUCCAGCAAUGCCGCGUGAGUGAUGAAGGCCCUAGGGUUGUAAAGCUCUUUUACCCGGGAUGAUAAUGACAGUACCGGGAGAAUAAGCCCCGGCUAACUCCGUGCCAGCAGCCGCGGU
rnacentral:rRNA from 1 species